AACAAACAUCAAUUGUGACUGAUAAACCUUUAACUACAUACUAAAUAAUGCAUUUAUUGAAAAUAUUUAUUACUGAUAACAAGAUUGUAACCGUGUUUUUAAUAGCAGAAAGCGCAAAAAAUAUUAAAUGAUUGGUAAAUGCUAAAAGAUUUAUUGUGGUCUACUAUAGUCUCAUAAGGUAGAAAUACCGUGUGUAAUGCUCAUUUCUUUCAAAUUUAACUCGAUAUCCUUCAUAAGAACCAUUGUUUUCGACAUUUAUUCAUUCUUUUAGGAAUAUUGAAACAACAUUAUUAAUUGUGGUAAACCUUAUCUGGCAGUACUUAAGAGUGCAUCUUUGACUUUAUUACUCGAGUGAAUGCACCUUCAAACCGGUUUAACACCAACAUGUCACAGUAAUCAAUACCAUCUGUGUUAAGAUGUCGGGAAUGUGUUAGACGAAUGAUUUUGUUUUAUGGAGCUUUGAAGAGCGAUGAAUGGCACUAAAGUGGUGCCAAAUGGAUAUCUCAAACACCCAUUGUUGAUGUGUGAUGCUGAUAAUACAGAGACAGCUAGAGUGACAGAGUUUGAUGAAUAAACUUAAAUUAAAAAACAGAAAUAACCACCAUCUCUCUCAGAGGUCAUCUUUCUCAUUAUUGUGGGGAAACCUCAAAGGGCAUCAGGAAAACCUUCAUCAACCUCUUUGUGCCCAGUGGCUUGUGCAACAGUGUUUCAGAAAUUAUCAUUAAAAUGGGGAUAAUGGAUGACUGGCCACACAUAUGGGGCUAUGGACAAGCUUCAGAGCAGGCUGCCAGGUGGUGUUGUUAGUAGUUUAUACUCCG